UACGUAGGGGGGCGAGCGUUGUCCGGAUUUAUUGGGCGUAAAGAGCGUGUAGGCGGCCAGGUAGGUCUGCUGUGAAAAACUCGAGGCUCAACCUCGAGACGUCGGCGGAAACCAUCUGGCUAGAGUCCGGAAGAGGAGAGUGGAAUUCCUGGUGUAGCGGUGAAAUGCGCAGAUAUCAGGAAGAACACCAAUGGCGAAGGCAGCUCUCUGGGACGGUACUGACGCUGAGACGCGAAAGCGUGGGGAGCGAACAGG
rnacentral:rRNA from 1 species